CUGGAAAAACUAACAGGAUUUUUCUUUAUUAUCCAGGGAUCUCUUGCAACUAACAUGACUCAGCUCAGUGACCCGAGAAACUUACCAGAGUCUGCAAACUUCUACAUGUAACUACCACACCCUUAAAAACGCUAUGGGAUAAUUCUGUUUCAAAAUGUACACAUGAAGUGACCACUGACUUCAAGGACAGCUGUUAUUGCCAGUGCAUAUCCCAGGGCAGAAAUUGGCCCUUACGGCUUUGGAGUUUCUUUAAACU